rnacentral:rRNA from 1 species
AUACGGAGGGUGCAAGCGUUACUCGGAAUCACUGGGCGUAAAGCGCGCGCAGGCGGCUAUUUAAGUUGGAUGUGAAAGCCUACGGCUCAACCGUAGAACUGCAUCCAAAACUAUUUAGCUAGAGUGUGGGAGAGGAAGAUGGAAUUAGUUGUGUAGGGGUAAAAUCCGUAGAGAUAACUAGGAAUACCAAAAGCGAAAGCAAUCUUCUGGAACACUACUGACGCUGAGGCGCUAAAGCGUGGGGAGCAAACAGGAUUAGAUACCCUAGUAGUCC